AUUGCGGUUAUCGUUCACUCCACAGAGUUGCAAAUGGUAAUUUAGUACCUACGAUUUUCAUACUCUUUUGCCAACCACGUGUUCUAAUUGUGUAACGCAGUGCAGAGAAUUUGACUUUGUUGCUCGAGGGUUGAAUUCUCGUCACGCGCCACUGGUGAAAAUUAACUCAACGUUAUUCGAUCGACGAUGAACCGCACCAUCCUCAGCUCCUGCGAAAUACGUACGAAGCGUCGCGUCUGAGAAGAAAACCGUCGAGACCGUCGACGACCUUGAUUCCGAGUUGAAAUGUGGAGCCGAAAGAUACAGGGAAUUUAUUUUGGUACAGCUGCAGUAUCGUCAUUUUCAACGGUACCCUUUCUCCGGUGUGUCGGAUGACGUCACGCAAUAUUCAAUAUUUGACUUUCUAACGUCGGCCGCGGUUCUAAAGACGACAAAAAUAAUUCACACCUUUAACAAUCGGGCACAGACUAACCGAUGCAGAUCGACGGCAUCGUGUACACGCGUUUCAGCGAAUGAAAAAAAACCUGUGCAAGAGGUCCCGGCGAAUUCGAAAAUAAUUUUCGACGAUGCGAGAAACCCAACACCGUAACACGGACGAACGUUUCCAGCUCAUCAACACCGGAUAUUGUAUACGCGAGAAAGUUUCGUACCGUGCGGCGGUUCAUUCGAUCGGUCGGUUAAUCGAGACUAUUCGACGUUCAUCCGUUGAAUCCUCGUCCCCUCGCAGUGAAAUCGUGAGUGAAAAUACGAACUUUAGGGCAAACCCGCCGCUCAUCCCGGGUUGCCGCCGCACAUCGAUUGACCGGGAAUGUGUUCGGUGGCCCCGCGGUACCACCGUGCCGGUAAAAUAACUACUACUCCACCUUGUUGCAAUGGACCGUAAUGGUUACUGCGCCAUUACGUAAUAUGCAUAUCGUUGGAAAGAUGUGUUUUCUGCAACUUCGGGUCAUAACGUAGGCCGCAAAACUACAUAUAAUCAUUCCGCUGCAGUCUACAUGUACACCGUAUUAGCAUCACGCAACGAUUCCUGGCAAACUGUGCAGGUAGUACCGCCGUUUACAACGUGCGGUACAACCGUACCGCCGUUUGCAUGGAUACAAAAAAAAGUACACAUCUGCUGCACCGUUUCUUCUGCGGUGAUUAUUGCAGCUAAACACACGGAAGCAACGCAUCGAGGAUGGCUACAAUGCUGACGCUGUUACAGGCAGACGCGCGAAUACUCACGCUCUGGACUAGAUGAUUGUAUGCGACGUACGCCGGCUCAUCUUCCACGUAAUUCGCUUUCGAUCAGGAAGUGAAUAGUUGGCACAGUAGCUGUAAGGCCUUCCCAAAGUUUACGAACCGGCGAAGUGGCGACCGACUCGAGUCGAUAUCCCCGCCGGGACGAAUGACCAUAACUUGAAACUGGAAAUGAUUUUCCAACAUUCCGUCGGUCGUGCCGAUCGGAAGAUUCUCCGCGCGAUCGCUGAAUUUCCUCGCCGAAUAAAAUCGCUAAAAUUUUCCCUCGAUCCUUCAUUUUUAUGCAUCGCAGGAAAUAUUCAAAUCUGAAAACAGA